CGACGACGGUAGCGCUGAGAGGGCGACGCACACUGGACUGAGACACGCCAGACUCUACGGAGCAGCAGUGGGGAAUAUGCACAAUGGGGGAAACCUGAUGCAGCGACGCAGCGUGCGGGAUGACGGCCUUCGGGUUGUAAACCGCUUUCAGCAGGGAAGAAGCCUUUCGGGGUGACGGUACCUGCAGAAGAAGUACCGGCUAACUACGUGCCAGCAGCCGCGGUAAUACGUAGGGUACAAGCGUUGUCCGGAAUUAUUGGGCGUAAAGAGCUCGUAGGUGGUUGGUCACGUCUGCUGUGGAAACGCAACGCUUAACGUUGCGCGUGCAGUGGGUACGGGCUGACUAGAGUGCAGUAGGGGAGUCUGGAAUUCCUGGUGUAGCGGUGAAAUGCGCAGAUAUCAGGAGGAACACCGGUGGCGAAGGCGGGACUCUGGGCUGUAACUGACACUGAGGAGCGAAAGCAUGGGGAGCGAACAGGAUUAGAUACCCUGGUAGUCCAUGCCGUAAACGUUGGGCACUAGGUGUGGGGGACAUUCCACGUUCUCCGCGCCGUAGCUAACGCAUUAAGUGCCCCGCCUGGGGAGUACGGUCGCAAGGCUAAAACUCAAAGGAAUUGACGGGGGCCCGCACAAGCGGCGGAGCAUGCGGAUUAAUUCGAUGCAACGCGAAGAACCUUACCAAGGCUUGACAUACACCAGACCGUUCUGGAAACAGUUCCUCCCCUUUGGGGUUGGUGUACAGGUGGUGCAUGGUUGUCGUCAGCUCGUGUCGUGAGAUGUUGGGUUAAGUCCCGCAACGAGCGCAACCCUCGUUCUAUGUUGCCAGCACGUGAUGGUGGGAACUCAUAGGAGACUGCCGGGGUCAACUCGGAGGAAGGUGGGGAUGACGUCAAAUCAUCAUGCCCUUUAUGUCUUGGGCUUCACGCAUGCUACAAUGGCUGGUACAGAGAGAUGCGAGACCGCGAGGUUUUAGCGAAUCCCUUAAAGCCAGUCUCAGUUCGGAUCGUAGUCUGCAAUUCGACUACGUGAAGUCGGAGUCGCUAGUAAUCGCAGAUCAGAACGUGC
rnacentral:rRNA from 1 species